UACAGAGGUCUCGAGCGUUGUUCGGAUUCAUUGGGCGUAAAGGGCGCGUAGGCGGCGGGGUAAGUCGGGUGUGAAAUCUUGGAGCUUAACUCCGAAACUGCAUUCGAUACUGCCGUGCUUGAGGACUGGAGAGGAGACUGGAAUUUACGGUGUAGCGGUGAAAUGCGUAGAUAUCGUAAGGAAGACCAGUGGCGAAGGCGGGUCUCUGGACAGUUCCUGACGCUGAGGCACGAAGGCCAGGGGAGCAAACGGG
rnacentral:rRNA from 1 species